rnacentral:rRNA from 1 species
UACAGAGGGGGCAAGCGUUGCUCGGAAUUACUGGGCGUAAAGGGCGCGUAGGCGGCCUUCUAAGUCGAACGUGAAAUCCCUGGGCUCAACCCAGGAACUGCGUCCGAUACUGGAAGGCUUGAAUCCGGGAGAGGGAUGCGGAAUUCCAGGUGUAGCGGUGAAAUGCGUAGAUAUCUGGAGGAACACCGGUGGCGAAGGCGGCAUCCUGGACCGGUAUUGACGCUGAGGCGCGAAAGCCAGGGGAGCAAACGGG